rnacentral:misc_RNA from 1 species
AAGUCGUAACAAGGUAACCGUAGGUGAACCUGCGGUUGGAUCAUCCGAGAGAGUGUUACACGCAGUGUUACACGCAGUGUGUCGCUCGUUAAUAGUUAGUGACUUGUAUCUUUUCUCGUUCUUUUCGGUGAAUCACAGAAAAGAGAGAGAGAAGCACGUCACUUGCAAACACCAAUUCCAGCGAAACGCACAAUUCCUCUGAAAAAGAGAGAGAAGCACCAAUUGAAAUCACACUAAAACAUGACAAAGAAAGAAACAGAAAUAACUUUUGACAAUGGAUCUCUUGGUUCUC